CAGCAAUGGGAUCUGCAAAUAGUUGGCAGAUGCAGUUGAACAAGGAAGGAUUUAGUACACCCAUAAAGAAAGCAAUUGUUCCUGUCAUUUGCUCAUCUUUUAUACCUAAUUGUGAAGAUAAUUUGAAGCCUAAUGUGGGGAUGAAAUUUCAAGGACUGAAGGCCGUGGAGGAGUUCUACAAGUCUUAUGCACAUCACUCUGGUUCUGGAUAAGAACAAAGAAGCCAAGGUCAAGGUUGCACGCUUGUGUAAGACAUGCUACCAGAUAGGGUUUCAUGACAGUCGCAAUUGUCCUAGCAAAAAAGGUCAAGGAAAAGAAACCAUGAAUGUGCAGCACAUGCUUCGAAAUGGUUAAUCAUGAUAGCCGCAACUCCGUAAAAGACACAGGGCUUAUUAAUGCCAUUUUGUUAGUUUUACUGAAAAUUUCCAUCUAUGUAAUAGAUGAUAAAUUGUGUUUAUUCUCCAACUUUUCACUUAUUUCUAUCACAUUGGAUGCACGCAGCAUGUUUUAUAAAUUCGGAGUGGUUACAA